rnacentral:snoRNA from 1 species
UUAAUAGGUUUUUGCUUGUUUGAUUUUUCAUCUUGCAGAUUUAAUAUAGGCUAGAGAAAAUGUUUAAAUUAUGAGCAUAUACCAACCAAACUAUAAAGUGAAUUCAGCUUAGUUUGGGUGAUGCUUCAGAAACA